UACGAAGGGGGCUAGCGUUGUUCGGAAUCACUGGGCGUAAAGGGCGCGUAGGCGGCUUUAUAAGUCGGGGGUGAAAGCCUGUGGCUCAACCACAGAAUUGCCUUCGAUACUGUAGAGCUUGAGACCGGAAGAGGUAAGUGGAACUGCGAGUGUAGAGGUGAAAUUCGUAGAUAUUCGCAAGAGCACCAGUGGCGAAGGCGGCUUACUGGUCCGGUUCUGACGCUGAGGCGCGAAAGCGUGGGGAGCAAACAGG
rnacentral:rRNA from 1 species